rnacentral:rRNA from 1 species
AUGGAUACUCUCGUCGACACCGUGGGACUGGGAGCGCCCCUGGACGUGCAAGCCGGCGGACCCGAUCUCGUCGUCGAGACCAACGUCGACGUGCCAGAUAGCUUCAAAGGCAGGAGACCUGAUCCCGUUGACACCAACGUCGACGUGCCAGAUAGCUCCAAACGCAGGAGACUUGAUCCCGUCGACACGGGCGCAGGCGACAGCGGCGAACUGAUGUUGUUGCUCCGGGACUUCCCUGCCACCGGCAAUGAAGGUGUCUUCCCUCUCAAGGUGUUGUGCGACAUCCUACUGCGCCUCCCAGCAAGGCCGAUCUGCCGAUUCCGCUGCGUCUCCGCCUCGUGGCGUUCCCUCAUCGACCACCCAGGCUUCCUUGACGUAUAUUUUUCAUACUCUGUGAGAAGACGGCGUAGCCUUAUUUAG